GCUCAUUUUAUUCCGGUAAAGACAGUUAGAGCGGUCGGCUGUUAACUGACUGGUCGUAGGUUCGAAUCCUAC
rnacentral:tRNA from 1 species